rnacentral:rRNA from 1 species
GAGUAAUGUCUGGGAAACUGCCUGAUGGAGGGGGAUAACUACUGGAAACGGUAGCUAAUACCGCAUGAUGUCGCAAGACCAAGGUGGGGGACCUUCGGGCCUCACGCCAUCGGAUGUGCCCAGAUGGGAUUAGCUAGUAGGUGAGGUAAUGGCUCACCUAGGCGACGAUCCCUAGCUGGUCUGAGAGGAUGACCAGCCACACUGGAACUGAGACACGGUCCAGACUCCUACGGGAGGCAGCAGUGGGGAAUAUUGCACAAUGGGCGCAAGCCUGAUGCAGCCAUGCCGCGUGUGUGAAGAAGGCCUUAGGGUUGUAAAGCACUUUCAGCGAGGAGGAAGGCGUUGCAGUUAAUAGCUGCAGCGAUCGACGUUACUCGCAGAAGAAGCACCGGCUAAC